rnacentral:rRNA from 1 species
ACGGAGCCUUAACCAAGAAGCAGCCAGCUUGCUGGAAGCGGACAAGGGAAAGGCUUAGUGGCGGACGGGUGAGUAACGCGUGGGUAACCUGGCCCAUACAGGGGGAUAACACUUAGAAAUAGGUGCUAAUACCGCAUAACAACAGAAAGCGCAUGCUUUUUGUUUGAAAACCAAGGUGGUAUGGGAUGGACCCGCGUCUGAUUAGCUGGUUGGCGGGGUAAAGGCCCACCAAGGCGACGAUCAGUAGCCGGCCUGAGAGGGUGGACGGCCACAUUGGGACUGAGACACGGCCCAAACUCCUACGGGAGGCAGCAGUGGGGAAUAUUGCACAAUGGGGGAAACCCUGAUGCAGCGACGCCGCGUGAGUGAAGAAGUAAUUCGUUAUGUAAAGCUCUAUCAGCAGGGAAGAAAGAAAUGACGGUACCUGACUAAGAAGCCCCGGCUAACUACGUGCCAGCAGCCGCGGUAAUACGUAGGGGGCAAGCGUUAUCCGGAUUUACUGGGUGUAAAGGGAGCGUAGACGGCAGUGCAAGUCUGAAGUGAAAGGCGGGGGCCCAACCCCCGGACUGCUUUGGAAACUGUGCUGCUGGAGUGCAGGAGAGGCAAGUGGAAUUCCUAGUGUAGCGGUGAAAUGCGUAGAUAUUAGGAGGAACACCAGUGGCGAAGGCGGCUUGCUGGACUGUAACUGACGUUGAGGCUCGAAAGCGUGGGGAGCAAACAGGAUUAGAUACCCUGGUAGUCCACGCCGUANACGAUGAUCACUAGGUGUCGGUGGGUAU